rnacentral:tmRNA from 1 species
GGGGCCGACUGGUUUUGACAGCGAGAUGAAUCGGUUAAGUAAGCAAGUAAGGCGUUGAAAUGUAGCCUUUCAAAACACGUUUCAACCUUUACAUGGCGAAAAUAACUACGCACUCGCAGCUUAAUCAGGUCAAAGACCGAUUAGCUUAAUCAUACCGCAAAGUGCGGAUGACGAGUUGUCCUUGGAAGUUGUUUACUCAACACAAUUUCCGUUAAGGGCACCAUCGAGUUUGAGUUAGAAAAUGAAGAGCUCGGAUUCAUUUUUGAAAUAAAUUCGAGAUAAGGUACGAUAGAGCUGUUUGCUGCUCAGUUGUGCCCGACAACCCAAAGUAAACUAAACUUGUAGAAGGCUUAAACGUUCCUUGUUUGGACGAGGGUUCGACUCCCUCCGGCUCCACU